ensembl:snoRNA SNORD111B small nucleolar RNA, C/D box 111B
CAGCCUGAAGUGAUGAUUCACAUUCAUGUCUCUUCUCUGAUAAAUUUUUGAAGACAAUUUUGUAUAUCUGAUCAGGCCU